rnacentral:siRNA from 1 species
GUUGAUCAUUUGAAGUCACUACCU